CUCUAUAUGCCUUUAUUACAUAAGUAAGCAAGGGAAAUAUUUAUAGCUUUGGGAUGAGACCGUACGGUAUCAGCUAGUUGGUGAGGUAAUGGCUCACCAAGGCAAUGACAUCUAACUGGUUUGAGAGGAUGAUCAGUCACACUGGAACUGAGACACGGUCCAGACUCCUACGGGAGGCAGCAGUGGGGAAUAUUGCACAAUGGAGGAAACUCUGAUGCAGCAACGCCGCGUGGAGGAUGACACAUUUCGGUGCGUAAACUCCUUUUAUAUGAGAAGAUAAUGACGGUAUCAUAUGAAUAAGCACCGGCUAACUCCGUGCCAGCA
rnacentral:rRNA from 1 species